UUUUCGGAAAAUUAUUUUUAAAGAAAAUCAACCUAAAUCCAAAAAAUACUUAAUCUCUAUAAAUACUCUUAUUCAUCUACCCAAUUUUUAUUCUUAUUUGAAAUAAUCGAUCACUGCAUAUCCAAAUUCUCUCUUCCUCAUUUUCUAUUAGCAUAGUUGUUCAUCUAUAUCAAAAAAGUUUAUCAUUUGCAUUUUUGUUAUUUUUGAAUUUGCAUGUGAAUGAUUUGUUAUUCUCUUUGUUUAGUAUAUAUUGGUGUUUCUGAUCACUUUCAUUUGAUAACUCUUUUUGAGGUAAUGUACAGAGCAAACCGAUUUUCUUAAGGUAACAUAGUUUUUAAUCGAUUAAAUAGGAUUUGCAUGUUAAUUUUUCCAAUCACUUUUGAUAUAUUUUUUUGUUUUAAUUCAUAUACCCUUCAUCAACCAAAAAAAUGUGUUUACAAUAAUUUUUUUAAUCUAAUGUCAUUUAUAUUAUUGUUUUUAUUAUUUUACAGGAACAUUAAAAAAUACCAAUUUUAUCAGACUCUUAUAUUUUUGUUUUAAAAACUAACUCUAAAAAAUGAAUAUAUAACUAAUCAGAAUUUAUCAACAAUAUUGGACGGAAGAUCGGUUUGAUGUGUCAAUAAAUCAACACUCAACAAUAAGAAAGAUCCAUUUAAAAUUUCAAACUUUUUUACUAAUUUAGUUCCUGUAUUUUUAUUACCAUAUUAUUUAUAGUUUCAUAUAUGUACAUUUAUAUUCAUGAUGGAUACUAAAAUGCAAAUAUUAUGCAUUUAAUAUACCAAUGUUAUUUUUAAUAAUACACGGGUUAGUUUGUUAACUCACAAUUAUAUAGUAGAAAGGGUAAUGAUUAAUAUUUUUUUAUAUACACUUUUUAUGAGUCGGUCGUCAAAACAUAUAAUAUUAGUGUGUAUAUUUUACAAGUACAAUCAUUUAAAGUUUUCAUAUAUUCAAUAUCUACUUCUAUUAUAAAUUUUAUUGAUAUGUUAGAGAAUAUUC
rnacentral:lncRNA from 1 species